rnacentral:rRNA from 1 species
UACGUAGGUCCCGAGCGUUGUCCGGAUUUAUUGGGCGUGAAGCGAGCGCAGGUGGUUUAUUAAGUCUGGUGUAAAAGGCAGUGGCUCAACCAUUGUAUGCAUUGGAAACUGGUAGACUUGAGUGUAGGAGAGGAGAGUGGAAUUCCAUGUGUAGCGGUGAAAUGCGUAGAUAUAUGGAGGAACACCGGUGGCGAAAGCGGCUCUCUGGCCUGUAACUGACACUGAGGCUCGAAAGCGUGGGGAGCAAACAGG